ACUCCUCCAUCCGCCUGUUCUCUGUGCCAGCUGCAUCUGAAACGACACUCGCUGUCGGAGGUGGCUUUCCCUCCACAGGGAGGGCAUUCCCACCGCCGUGGGGGUUUGGCCGUGACUUUUGAAGGAUAUUUUUAUGCAGAAUGUGGUAUUUGAGAAGGAGUGGGCCAAGAAAUGUGAGCCACUGUUCUUUUCAUUUUCUUCCAGGCUCAGCGGCACUUUCUGCCUUUGCAUAAAAGCCAGCACAAUCCUGCCCGAGGUGGUCCACGCCCUGGUGGCUGCGCUAAGUGCUCCCCACACACCGUGUUCAGUCCUUACAGCUGACCUGAGCCCCAGGUAUUAUUAUUAUUCUCCCCAUAUUCCAUGGGCAGAAAUUGAACCUCAAUGAGGUAAAUGGACAUUUCCGGGGCCCCCUGGCUUGGAAGUGGCAGGAGGAGGGCGUAGACCCCCAGUCCCAGCCACGUGCCACACCACCAGGACCAAGCCUCCAACUUCUCUCCACCUAGUCUGAUGCCUGGCACACUGUAGUCACUCCACAAAUGCCUGUUGAAUGAACUGAGUUAAAAACCCCCUUUUACAGAAUGUGUUGGAAAAACUGAGGCUUAGAAGUCAGAUGGGUAGAGGGUAGGGGAACACCAUCAACAGCCCCUGGUUGUCAUCACUUCUUGUCUCUGACUGUUGUGGGGCAGGAAGUUUCCUUACUCUACAGGUCUCCCCCAGGCUAUGAUACUUCUUCCUGAGCCCUACCCGGAAGCCCUUCCAGCUGCCCCCAUGGAAGACACACAUUCUGCUUAAAGCUCCUCCAGGAUGACAGGCUUGUGCUGAUUUCUGUCCUGUUGAAAGGCCAUGUGAAGAAGUGGAAAGAACCCAACCUCCCAGGGUCCUACAAACCUAGAGCUAAACCCAGCUUCCGGCCAUGAUUAGCUGUGUAAACUUGAGCAAGUUAUUUUUAUCUCAACUUCUCUGUGUGUAAAAAGAUGGUGACCAUACCUCCUGAAGAGAGCUGACGUGGGUUUAGAGACAGAGAGAGGAGGCGAGCAGCAUGGAGUACCCAGCCGGUGCUCAAGGAGACGCUGUUCUCCAGGAACCUCUGCUAGGCUUGGGGCUGUGUCACGUGAUUUUCACAUGAAGGGAUUAGAACUGGGCUGGGGCCUCUGUGAUCUCUGACCAUGAGGAUAGUUGGAUCCAUAUCUUCUGGGCAAUGUGACAGAAGGGCCCCCUCCCCACACACAGCUCUGUAAGGUGCCUUUUACUCUGCUGGUUUGCCCAGGGCAUGAUUUACUUGGGCAAUCCCACCAGAAUUCAACAAUGAAUCAUAUAUGAUUCCUGUCUGUUUCUUUUGUAUUGAUCCCCCUUUCUGCCCUCAGGUUGCUGAAAGACUAUAAAAGAGACAUUUUUUCGCCCUCUGUUUUGGGACCAAGACUACACAGCAAAGGGCUUAGUGUGAUUCAGUGCUACCAAUGCAACCCAUGCAAACUCAACCUAACCUAACCCACCCAGCCCAACCCUCCCCACCUCAAACCAACUUAACCCAACCCAACCUAAUCCAACCCAGCCCUACCCAACUCAAACCAACUCAACUCUAGCCAACCCAACCCAACUCACCUCAACUUAAACCAAGUCAAUUCAGCUCAACCCAACCCACUCCAACCAACCCACCCAAAUCAAGCCAACCCAAUUCUAGCCAGCCCAACCCAACUCACCUCAACUCAAACUAACUCAACUCAGCCCAACCCAGCUCAAUGGCAACAGUUGUUCAAUGGAAAGCACAUGGGAUUUGGAGUUAAAUAGACCUAAGUUGAAAUCUCAGCUUUUCCAGUUACAGGCUAUGUGACCUUGGCCAAGUCACUUCACUUCUGAGUCUGCUUCCUCAUCUUAAAACAGAGGGGAAAAUCUUGUAUUUGCCAGUAUAGAAGAUUCAUUUUCUGUUUCUCAGAUGCCUCCUUGUGUGACACCAUCAAGUCCACCAUAAACCAAUGGAUGGAAUAACUCUCAGCAACUUGUCCCUUUCCUCCCCUGCUCCCCUUGGGUAAGAAACUGUGCAAGCUUCAAGAACAGCAGAAAGAAGAGGCAUCUCCAAACCAGUCUUCCUGGCUACUUGGCAGUUCUCCAAGAAGACUUGGCUAGUCUGGGGUAGUAGAUAAUAUCUUUCAGAAAAGCUUCCUGGUAAAAUUGAGUGACUUAUAUACUAGCUAAUCUUUAGACUGCAAAUACAGUAAUUUCUAGGCAUUGUAGUGAGGAUGGAUAGUAAUACGUGGCACUCACACUAAAUACUGAGAAAUCACUGCAGUCACCACUGCUACUGUUACCACCAUUGAGAUAGUAGAAUAGAAGCUUUCUUCACCUGUCUUCACAUCACUGAGCCACUAACCAGUGCUCUCCCCUGCCACUGUAAACAUUCUGUGGCCGCCCACAGUGCUCUGAAAGUUGGAGGCUGGUCAGUGACACCUCAGUGAGCUCUCCCACAUCUGCCUUCAUUCAAUGAGUCAUUUGAUUAACAAGAGUCUGUGGAUUGUUCCCAUGCCUUCUAAUGCCAGUUAUAUUUGUAACUUUAAUUUCAAAAUUCAACUGAAUUACUUACUAUAUAAACUAAAAAACUAUGAGUGUGAAAGCAAGAGAAUAGUUGCUUCUGUGAAAAAUAAGUCAAAUGCUGUGGAAUGACUUGAAAAAUAUGAGUUCCUAAAAAAUAUGCUGAACAAUGCAGUGAGGAAGAAACUACUGUAAAGAUGAAAAAAUACACAAACAAUGAAGGAUUCUGCAUUCAGAUAUCUUUGGAUUUCUCAGCCAAGCAUCAAUGAAUCUUGAAUCUCAGCUGAUGACACUCCUGGGCAAAAUGGCUAUGAAACUGGAAAGAUGUCUAUGAAACACACAGUCCCUCAAGCCAGAAAAUGCACUUGACACAUCUGUGUCCCUUGAGGAACCUGAAGUUUUGGUGAAUCCAGAAAGCCAUGGAUGGCAGAACUGACCACAGAAAAAGAAACAGAGGCUCAGAAAGGUGAAGCCAAUUGCCUGAAGCCACACAGAAUAUCAGCUGGAGUCAGGAUUCUAACACCAUCCCAUGUAGCUGAUGCUAUCUACUGCCAGCCUGGAGCCAGGCUAAGAGGAAGAGAAAGAAGAAAAUGCCUGCAGAAACAUUCUAUGUAAAGAACACUUUGGGAUCAGAAAAAGAAGCGCGCCCGUGUUUCACUUGCAGCCUCACCCUGCACUAGGUAACCCUCCUUCCUCCACUGCACAAUCACUUAGAAACUGUAACUCUUCUUGGGCCCAGGUGCACAGGUAAAUUCGGAUCUUUCCCAAGGGAUCUCUGGGGCCUCGGGUCACAGCAGACCAGAACUUGACCUGGAGGCUGGUGUCCCCCAAACUGCUGUAUGGACCCUGCAACAGCUGGGGAGUCCUCGUCUCAACAGCCCUGCUGUCUCCCACUGAGGUCAUCUGCUGGCCCUCCUGGUGGCCCUGUGAGGAAGCCAGGAGUCACUGAUGCUGCUCUAUCGACGGCGACAGAUGGAUCACAGCUGAUAAGUGACUUGCCCAGAGUUUUGCAGCUUGGAACUCACAGAGCAGAAGCUGGGAAUCAGGUGGGGAAGCACCCAGCUCUCUGCUUCUCCUAAGCCAAGCUCUGCAGCGAGGUCCUGCUUCCCUCGGGACUCCUCUUUCAGCAUGACAUGAACUCAUUUUGAAUGUAAAGGCAAUGUCAAAGCCCUACAGCUAUUUAUACCAGAGCAUGUGUUUAUUAGCUCACUCUCCAGGGGGAAUAUUGCUGUUGUGAAUACACAACUACUCAUAACUACCGUCUUAAAAAUCUUCUCUACCCCAAAAUAUUUACUAAUGUAUUUAAGUAUUUAUUUUCUUGUAGUGAAAGGAAAUCAAGAUAAUUCUAAAAUUGUGGAAGAAAACAAAAAAAGUAUAAAGGAGAAAACAGAAGCUUCACAUAUUCUAACCAUUAUUAAUCUCAAAAUAUUUUAUUCCAGGUCCUUGUCUAUGGUCCAGGUCCUUGUCUAUGGUCCUAUAGCCUAUGCUGAGUGACACUGUGCUAUGUGUAUGCCAUUUGCACUCACCGUGGGGUCAUAAGCGUGCCAUUUCCUUUUUAUUAAAAAAAUACUUUGCAUACAUGAAAGUAUGUUUGCAUUAAAACUAUGCAAACAUCAGUUUUAAUAACUGUAUAAAUAUUCCAUCACAAGGACAUUCCAUAAUUUAUUUAAUCACUUUGGUAGUGUUGGACAUUUAAUUUUUUAAAAAGUCAAAUAAUGCCAGGAUUAAUGCCUGUUUAUAUGAACCAGUUUUCAUUUCCUGAUUAUUUUCUUCGGCCAGAUCCCCAAAAGUGGAAUUACUGAUAAAAGUAGGUGAGUGUUUUUAACACAUUUCUUCUUAUACACACACACACACACACACACACACACACACACCCAUCAACAAAUAGUUUUUCCUGGAAGGAACUUCCAGUAGUGUAUGAGAAAGCCUAUUGCACCACACCAUCCCCAGCAAUGAGAAUUACUACUGUAAAAAAAUCUUUGUUACAUUAAAUUUUUGGAGGACAUCUCA